rnacentral:tRNA from 1 species
UGGUCCGUAGCUUAACGGGAUCAAAGCGCCGCACUGUGGAUGCGGAGAGUGCGGGUUCAAGUCCCGUCGGACCACCCA